GACGAACGCUGGCGGCGUGCUUAACACAUGCAAGUCGAACGGAAAGGCCCUGCUUUUGUGGGGUGCUCGAGUGGCGAACGGGUGAGUAACACGUGAGUAACCUGCCCUUGACUUUGGGAUAACUUCAGGAAACUGGGGCUAAUACCGGAUAGGAGCUCCUGCUGCAUGGUGGGGGUUGGAAAGUUUCGGCGGUUGGGGAUGGACUCGCGGCUUAUCAGCUUGUUGGUGGGGUAGUGGCUUACCAAGGCUUUGACGGGUAGCCGGCCUGAGAGGGUGACCGGCAAAAUGGGGAUUGGGAAAGGGCCCGGGCCCCACCGGGGGGCAGCGGGGGGAAAAAUUGCAAAAGGGGCGGAAGCCUGAAGGAGAAACGCCGGUGGGGGGAGGACGGCCUUGGGGUGGUAAACCGUUUUGGCCUGUGACGAAGGGGGAGGGGGGGUAAUGGGGAAAAAAGCCCCGGCUAACUAGGG
rnacentral:rRNA from 1 species